rnacentral:rRNA from 1 species
UACGUAGGGGGCUAGCGUUGUCCGGAAUCAUUGGGCGUAAAGCGCGUGUAGGCGGUUCGGUAAGUCCGCUGUGAAAGUCGGGGGCUCAACCCGUCGAAAGCCGGUGGAUACUGUCGGACUAGAGUGCGGAAGAGGCGAGUGGAACUCCUGGUGUAGCGGUGGAAUGCGCAGAUAUCAGGAAGAACACCAACGGCGAAGGCAGCUCGCUGGGACGGUACUGACGCUGAGACGCGAAAGCGUGGGGAGCGAACAGG